CCAAAAUCAGUCACCUGAGGAUGGCCUACGCAUUAGGCUGUAAACAUUAGUGCAUAACCAAGAAAUGUUUUUUAGCAUCCACAGGUGUUUAGUGAUGAAUUAUUUCUACUAUUUUUGAAUGAUAACAAAGAGGAAGACUAUGUGGAAGAAUUAUUAGAGAAACAGUCUGAAUUAAUAUAUUAUCUACGACAGCACACCAUUCAUCUUGGCA